rnacentral:lncRNA from 1 species
AAAUUGUACUUAAAAACUUACAUAUCUUAGUGGAUUUGCAUAAUCAGAUUAUAAUCAAUUGUAUCAAAUAUUAUUAUGGGUGAAAUAUUUUGUAUUUUUUAGCUCACCUGGCCCAAAGGGCCAAGUGAGCUUUUCUCAUCACUUGGUGUCUGUUGUCCUUCGGCGUCUGUCGUCGUUAACUUUUACAAAAAUCUUCUCCUCUGAAACUACUGGGCCAAAUUUGACCAUACUUGUCCACAAUCAUCAUUGGGGUAUCUAGUUUUAAAAUUGUGUCCGGUGACCCGCCAAACCAACCAAGAUGGCCACCAUGGCUAAAAAUAGAACAUAGGGGUAAAAUGUAUAUUUUGGCUCAUAACUCUGAAACCAAAGCAUGAAGAGCAAAUUUGAUGAGGUAAAAUUGUUUAUCAAGUCAAGAUCUAUCUGCCCUGAAAUUUUCAGAUGAAUCAGACAACUGGUUGUUGGGUUGCUGCCCCUGAAUUGGUAAUUUUAAGGAAAUUUUGUCGUUUACGGUUAUUAUCUUGAAUGUUAUUAUAGAUAGAGAUAAACUGUAAACUACAAUAAUGUUCAGCAAAGUAAGAUCUACAAAUAAGUCUACAUGACCAAAAUGGUCAGUUGACCCCUUAAAGAGUUAUUGCCUUUUAUAGUUAUUUUUUACCAAUUUUUGUAAUCUUUUACAAAAAUCUUCUCCUCUGAAACUACUGGGCAAAAUUAAACCAAACUUUGCCACAAUCAUCAUUGGGGUAUCUAGUUAAAAAAAUGUGUGGCUUGACCCUGUCAACCAACCAAGAUGGCCACCAUGACUAAAAACAGAACAUAGCGAUAAAAUGUAGAUUUUGGCUUAUAACUCUGAAAUCAAAGCAUUUAGAGCAAAUCUUACAGUGGUUAAAUUGUUGAUAAAGUCACUAUCCAUCUGCCCUGAAAUUUUCAGAUGAAUUGGACAACUGCUUGUUGGGUUGCUGCCCCGCCCCCCCCCCCCCCCAAUUGGUAAUUUUUAAGGAAAUUUUGCGUUUUUCUGUUAUUAUCUUGAAUACUAUUGCAGAUAGAGAUAAACUGUUAACAGCAAUAAUGUUCAGCAAAGUAAGAUCUACAAAUAAUUUUGCAUGACCAAAAUGAUCAGUUGACCCCUGAAGGAGUUAUUGCCCUUUAUAGUAAAUUUUUAACAAUUUUCAUCAAUUUGAUUUUGGUAAGUUUUACAAAAUAAUUUCCUUUGUAUCCUAAGGGCCAAGUACAAGUUACAUCAAAAAUGUUCAGUAAAGUAAGAUCUACAAACACAUAACCAUCAACAAAACAUAAUUUUGUCAUGAAUCCAGCUGUGUCCUUUGUUUAAAAUGCACAUAGACCAAGGUGAGCACCACAGGAUCUUAAGAGCCUCUAGUUUGCAUUAUCUAAUAAUGGGUGAAUCCAGUCGUUUAAAAAAGGGGGGUUCCAACCAUAUUUCCAUAUAUUAAAGCUUCAAUUGUUAAAAAAAGGGGUUAAAACCCCCUAAGCCCCUCCCCUUGGAUCCGCAACUAAAUUAACAGUUGUAUCAAAACAUUAUCCAUGUAAUGGAUAGAGUAGAUUGUUCUUAAAGGUUUUUUGGCAUAAUCAAAUGCUGAUCAAAAUAUUAUUAUUGGUUUAAAAAUAGAUUGUACUUAAAAAGUAAAACUGUGAUUAGUUUAUCAAAAUGUAUUCUGGUUUACUAGAUUGUACUUGAAAAUUGUUUUGCAUAAUCUAAUUUUGAUAAUUAAUUUAUAUAAAAUAUUAUUGAGGGUUGACUAUAUAGU